rnacentral:lncRNA from 1 species
AUGAUGAUGUGGGUCUCCUGCUCUAGGACCGCCGCGGCCGUGUGGCGGGUGGUCCUGACGAGCGGUGGUGGCACGGUGCAGCGGUCAGCGUUCCACACCAUCUGCCGCGUGCUUCACUACUUGAAUCGCUUCCUGGUAAUGAACCCGGAGCAGCUGGACUUGGCUAGACCGGCGGUGGACUACCUCGACAUGGAUGCGCAGCUGCUGAGGAGGUUCCCGGAGUGGGAGGGGAACGGUGUCACCGACGUGCCAUUCGAGAUGUACGCGUACAGGGUGAUGGAGAGGGACAAGAGCAACGCGUGUAGGGACAGGAGCUCCGACUCCGGCAUCGACGACAACUCGUUGUGUGGAGAUGACAGCGUCAGCGGCGGGUCCAGCACGACGACGACGGCGACGAACGCAUCGGCGUCGGCGUCGAGCCGGCCACUGCUUGACCGAAGAGGCAACACGAGGUCGUCAGCGCCGCGGCACAAGGUGGCCAUCGCCGCCACCAAGGCAGGCAAGUGUCGCAGCGGUAUUGUUACUCGUCUAAAGCCUUCCAAGAUUACAGCUAGCGCUCCAUGUCCAUGACGUGUGCAUG